GACGAACGCUGGCGGCGUGCUUAACACAUGCAAGUCGAACGGUAAGGCCCUUCGGGGUACACGAGUGGCGAACGGGUGAGUAACACGUGGGUGAUCUGCCCUGCACUUCGGGAUAAGCCUGGGAAACUGGGUCUAAUACCGGAUAGGACCACUGCCUGCAUGGGUGGUGGUGGAAAGCUUUUGCGGUGUGGGAUGGGCCCGCGGCCUAUCAGCUUGUUGGUGGGGUGAUGGCCUACCCAGGCGACGACGGGUAGCCGGCCUGGGGGGGUGACCGGGCCCACUGGGACUGGGAUACGGCCCAGACUCCUACGGGAGGGGGCAGUGGGGAAUAGUGCGCACUGGGCGCAAGCCUGAUGCAGCGACGCCGCGUGAGGGAUGACGGCCUUCGGGUUGUAAACCUCUUUCAGCACCGACGAAGCGCAAGUGACGGUAGGUGCAGAAGAAGGACCGGCCAACUACGUGCCAGCCGCCGCUGUAA
rnacentral:rRNA from 1 species